AGCCUAAAUUUGGUGGUAAACUCCAUCUAAAGCUAAAUAUUGAUCAGUGACCGAUAGCAAACAAGUACCGUGAGGGAAAGAUGAAAAGAACCUUGAAAAGGGGGUUAAAAGUACGUGAAAUUGUUAUUAGGAAAGCACUUAAUCUCAUUGUGGAUUAAAUCAGUCUGUUUCGGCAGAUACUGUUUUAAUUAGUUAUGAUCAGUUAAGGUUGAUAAAGAAAAUUUGUAACAAGGUAUUAGUGUAGUGCUAAACUUACAGGUUACUUAUUAUUUGUCGAUAUUGACUGAGGAAUGCUACUUAAUCUUUUCUGGUUAAUAGUUUAUGGAGUUAGGCUAAACAACAUGUUGAUUAGUUUAAUUAAAGUGAUCUAUUGAUUUUAAAACUUGAGUACAGGAUCAUAAUUAAAUGAUAUUAAAUGACCCGUCUUG
rnacentral:rRNA from 1 species